CACGUAGGGGGCAAGCGUUGUCCGGAUUUAUUGGGCGUAAAGGAGCUGCGUGAGGCGGUUCGGUAAGUCGGGUGUGAAACCUCCAGGCUCAACCUGGAGACGCCACCCGAUACUGCUGUGACUAGAGUCCGGUAGGGGAGCGUGGAAUUCCUGGUGUAGCGGUGAAAUGCGCAGAUAUCAGGAGGAACACCAGCGGCGAAGGCGGCGCUCUGGGCCGGAACUGACGCUGAGGAGCGAAAGCGUGGGGAGCAAACAGG
rnacentral:rRNA from 1 species